UGUGAACGUUACCAAACUGUUGCCUCGGCGGGAUCUCUGCCCCGGGUGCGUCGCAGCCCCGGACCAAGGCGCCCGCCGGAGGACCAACCAAAACUCUUUUUGUAUACCCCCUCGCGGGUUUUUUAUAAUCUGAGCCUUCUCGGCGCCUCUCGUAGGCGUUUCGAAAAUGAAUCAAAACUUUCAACAACGGAUCUCUUGGUUCUGGCAUCGAUGAAGAACGCAGCGAAAUGCGAUAAGUAAUGUGAAUUGCAGAAUUCAGUGAAUCAUCGAAUCUUUGAACGCACAUUGCGCCCGCCAGUAUUCUGGCGGGCAUGCCUGUCCGAGCGUCAUUUCAACCCUCGAACCCCUCCGGGGGGUCGGCGUUGGGGAUCGGCCCUGCCUCUUGGCGGUGGCCGUCUCCAAAAUACAGUGGCGGUCUCGCCGCACCCUCUCCUGCGCAGUAUUUUGCACACUCGCAUCGGGAGCGCGGCGCGUCCACAGCCGUUAAACACCCAACUUCUGAAAUG
rnacentral:misc_RNA from 1 species